GGACGCAUAGCUCAGCUGGUUAGAGCGUUCGCCUCACACGCGAGAGGUCGAGGGUUCGAGUCCCCCUGCGUCCA
rfam:Clostridium leptum CAG:27 genomic scaffold, scf109